GCAGCAGCCGCGGUAAUACAGAGGGUGCGAGCGUUAAUCGGAUUUACUGGGCGUAAAGCGUGCGUAGGCGGCUUUUUAAGUCGGAUGUGAAAUCCCUGAGCUUAACUUAGGAAUUGCAUUCGAUACUGGGAAGCUAGAGUAUGGGAGAGGAUGGUAGAAUUCCAGGUGUAGCGGUGAAAUGCGUAGAGAUCUGGAGGAAUACCGAUGGCGAAGGCAGCCAUCUGGCCUAAUACUGACGCUGAGGUACGAAAGCAUGGGGAGCAAACAGGAUUAGAUACCCCUGUAGUCCCUGUCUCUUAUAC
rnacentral:rRNA from 1 species